UCCCUGGUGGUCUAGUGGUUAGGAUAUGGCGCUCUCACCGCCAUGGCCUGGGUUCGAUUCCCGGUCAGGGAA